AGUGAACGCUGGCGGUAGGCCUAACACAUGCAAGUCGAACGGCAGCACAGUAAGAGCUUGCUCUUACGGGUGGCGAGUGGCGGACGGGUGAGGAAUACAUCGGAAUCUACUUUUUCGUGGGGGAUAACGUAGGGAAACUUACGCUAAUACCGCAUACGACCUACGGGUGAAAGCAGGGGAGCUUCGGACCUGUCGCGAUUGAAUGAGCCGAUGUCGGAUUAGCUAGUUGGCGGGGUAAAGGCCCACCAAGGCGACGAUCCGUAGCUGGUCUGAGAGGAUGAUCAGCCACACUGGAACUGAGACACGGUCCAGACUCCUACGGGAGGCAGCAGUGGGGAAUAUUGGACAAUGGGCGCAAGCCUGAUCCAGCCAUACCGCGUGGGUGAAGAAGGCCUUCGGGUUGUAAAGCCCUUUUGUUGGGAAAGAAAAGCAGCAGGUUAAUACCCCGCUGUUCUGACGGUACCCAAAGAAUAAGCACCGGCUAACUUCGUG
rnacentral:rRNA from 1 species